UAUUGAUCCAUUGAACAAAUAUUUAUUGAAGACUGAGUCUGUUGUUCUAGAGCUGGGACAUCAUUUUCCCCCUCUCUUCUACUGCCAGGAUCCUGCCUCUCUGGCCUUGGGACACUCCAAGACAGUGGGAGAGGACAGUCUGUCUAGUAAUCCUACUCAGGGAUCUCGCCUGGGCCUGGGAGAGAUGGCGGAGAGUCUGAGGACUUCGAAGGUGGGAAGGAGACCUCCUGGCGAGCCUGGCAGAAGCUCUGCUAAACGAUGUGGCCUCAUGCUCCUUGUUUCCUGCUGGGUCCCGACUUCAGCUCUUCCUUCCACCAGCCAGUCUGGAGCUUAGCCGUGUUGUGUCACCUCGUUCUCCUGGGCUCUCUUCCUGCUCCUGCCUGUGAUUCCAGCCUGUGGUUAUGUCCUGCUACCUUCCCCUGCCUGGCUUAGGUCCCCAAGAGGCAUUUCGACCUAGAUCCCAGGGAUGAUGCCUGGAUUCCACUCAGCCCAUCUUAGGGUCUUCCCUCUAUUGAGAAAUCCUUGCCGGGCUCUAAAACACAUCUCUCUUGCUUAAGUUACUUCCUUUGGCUUGAAAACAGCAAGGGGAGUGCUGGGAGCAGUCUGGGUGGAGAGGCAAUUUCAAGGAGACAGCGGGGGAGGAGAGGACAGGGCUGGAUCUGGGCCGGGAGACACAGGGCUGGCCCGGGCCAGGAGAGAGGAGGAGCAAGAGUGAGCUGUUAAAUGAUUAGGAAACUCAGAACAGGAAUGGGAAGCAAAAGUGCCAGGAUGCAGGGGGCCUAAGGCCAAAGAGUGGGGUGGCUAGAGCCACCCCUCCCCAAACAGCCUGGCAUCCCAUGGGUCAGAAAGGCCAAGGAUGGGCAUGGUUAGCUUUCACAUGUGAAGUCUGGAAGUGCUUUGUAGGCAGGGUGGGAGGCUGAGAGGGUCCAGGGGUGCCCAGCACAGUGGGGAGGUAGCACCCCUUCCAGCAGCAGCAGCCAGUUCAUUAGACUCAGAGGGACUGCUGUCUGCCCCUUCUUUGCCUCCCCUCUAGACAAAUCACUACCCCAUUUCCUGUUGUGAUUUCGAAAACACACACAGGUGAGUGCCUGGGACCAGCCACCCUACACACCAGGGCAGGCCAGUCAGCAUCUCCUGGGGAGGGGGAUGACCCAGAAACUGGGGGAGGGGCUAGGGGAGAGACACUGACGUCCUCAGUUUGGGACCCAUAAUUAGUUUGUGGGAGAGAGCAAAACAACCAUCCUCAGGGUGACAGCCAGACAUUCAGGCGGCAGGGACGUGGAGCAGGGGGAGGGCAGGGAGGAAGGGACAGAAGCUGGGAUGAGAGAAACCCACUCAUUUACCCCACAAGCAUUUCCCCUUGGACUCUUCUAGCCUCCUGGACUCUGCCCCUGAGAGGCCCAGUGAGUUUAGCAGACUGGGAGGCAAGGCAAAUCUGUUUGCCAAGGGAGGGGUACCAGCUUCUCCUGGGGAGGAAGUCAGAUAAGGAGAUGAGGCCAGAGUAGAAGUUGAGAAGGUUACCUCCAGGACACCCCAUAGCCACCUACCCAGAAGCCCACUGUAUGGCAAGAUGCAGGGCUGGGGAGGAAACUGACAAGCUGUCUGCCCAGACAGGCCUGUUGAGUAGGUCAGUGGACAAGGAACAGGGGGAGGGCAGCUGCACAAGAGGGUCUAGCACCAAUCCCACCCCAUCAGCCAUGGGGUUCCCUGAGUCGCCCACUCGUUAAGAGCUCAGCCAACCAGGCUUGACAGCCCCCAGCUCAGCACCCCAAGGAGGACACAUGUCUGAUCACAGGUGAGCUGUGGACAGCAGCAGCCCAAGGACGCUAUCAGGGAUGCUCUGGAGGAGCCAAAGGCAGAAAUGUGAACCUUACGCUGAGGCCACGGAGAGUGAGGGCUCUCAGAGGAACCCCUGCUCGCCACCAUCCCGGGGAGGGGCCUUUCUCUCUCCCAGAAUGAAUCCCUUGUAACCUCCUGGGAUCUUUCUUUUCAUCACAAGAACCAAAUAAAGAAACUUGAAGAUCUUCUAGAGAGGCCCAAGGUUCACAAUCCUCAACUUCAAAGUGUGCUGUCCUUUACCACUGGCUUUCACUCCAGUUAAUCUGAUCUAGACAGACAAGCUCAAACCCAUUAUGCAGAUUAGGAAACCAAGGCAGAGAUGGGAAUUCUGGUUUACUAAACAGUUACAGAUCAAGUUAAUCUCCCUUAGGGGGUCAGAUCAACCACAGGCCAGAUUCUUCCUCUCAGCCCUGUGGUGCAUUUCUUUGGAAAUGUGAUGCUGCCAGAUGUUGACUUUUAAGGUUGCUGGUGUAACAGCCUCUGAGAUGGGCAGGGCUGUUCCCGGCAGUGGGUCUACACCCAGCUAUGCUCGUGCCCCUUUCUGUGACACCCCUUCUUCCACAACUAGGAUAGCAAAAGUGUAGCCUAGGGAGAAGCCUGAAUGGAAGCAUCCAGGAUAUUCUAAAAUCUCAUGUGGCUCACGCUCCUCUCCCAGCCUCAUUCACUGCCACAAAGCCACAGAGAAAUAACCUCAGUACUGCCCUCCCCCGAUGGCAGCAGAGAGUCCAUUGGCAAUGGUCCCCGAGGGAAACGAUGGCCCAUGGAGACAGAGCAGCUGGGCCCCAGCUCCUUUACCCUCAGCUGCAGCCUAACAGGGCACCUCAGGCUUCCGCUCCUUCUUUCCCUAGCCUUGGCUCCCACUGCACCGGAAAGUCCCUCUGCAGUCUAGUCAACACUCCCCUCUCAGAGAAGGGACAGUCCCUGGUCUCUGGAGAUUGACCAUUCACUGCCCCCUCAGCCCUUGGCCAGAAAUGCAGGGGCCAUCCAGACACUUGCUCAGAGAGCUGGGAGGGAGCGUGCCGGUGGCUCUGCCCCUGCCUCAAACACACACCAUUGUAUCCAGCCUCCUGCUUCUCCUGCCCCAGACAGGACCAUCCUGUGUAACUCCCGGCCUCUGUUCAAGAUAGGGUCCACCUUCCCUGUCUCCCCUACCCUCCCCAGCCCUCCAAGCUGAGAGCAGGUGACUCACGGAGCGGUUAUCCGGCUGCAGGAGGUAUCCUUCAACACAGCCACAUAUGAAGGAGCCGUCUGUGUUGGUGCAUAGCUGGCUGCAGGUGCCGUACACUGAGCACUCAUCAAAAUCUGCCGAGGAAAGGGCAAGAAUGUGGUCAUUUCCAGUGUGACAAGGGCAACGAAGUGGGUGAUCAUCAGACAUGAUCAACAUGUCCAUCCUUACAGCUACCUUGAAGGACAGUUCGGCAGAAUCUAUUACAGCAUGAAAUGUGCAAACCUUAACACCCAGCAAGUCCAGUCUUGGAAUCCACUCUAGAGAAACACUCGUGUACAUAUCACUCAUCCACGCAGGGAAGAUUUAUUGAGUCCCUACUAUGGGUCAGGUGCCAGGGGUGCAUCAGUGAACUUUAAAAUAGACCCACAUUGCUGUCCUCAUGAAACUUAUAUUCAGAUAAUAAAUGAAAUAUAGUUACUAUAAUAA
rnacentral:lncRNA from 1 species